UCUUGAUGCUGAAGAUGAUAAUACUGAGCCAGAUCGAAAGGGCAUGUUUCACCGUACUGGCAACACUGAAAGUAACAGGUGAUAUCUUUCCCAUUAAAGCA